UUACACUUAACAUGUUAAAGUUAAUUGGCAGUGAUCUAAUUUCUAACUCAGAAGCGAGCGCAGCGCAGAGGUGGGCUAGGCCCUCAGAUGGAUUGAGAGGCUGAAGCAGCACUAACAGAUGUUAUCUAAAACAUCGCCCACGUGUUUGAUCUGAUUUUUUUCCACUUUUCUGAUCAACGGUUGGACAGCUUUGGAUGCAUUGCUCUUGAGCUUGGAUGAGGUGAUCCAUGAAUAUUAACUACCUGUCUUCUUCCAGCAAGGGGAAAUGCCAGCUGUUGAAGAACUGGAUUCUGGGGUGAAGUUAGAUUGGUGUAAUACUGUCUGUAAUUUCUUGGCAGGUAUUUAUAUGAGAUCGCACUGAGCCUUCUCCUCUCCAGCCUGAACAGCCCCAGUUCUCAGUCCCUCCUCCUCCAUGCUUCAGUACCUCCAUCACCUUUGUGGCCCUGCACUGGGCUUACUCUAUCAGUAAAGGGGGCUACAGACAAAAGACACCUACUUUCCUAACCUGGGCUCCAAAAGUGGAAAGAAAAUUUCAUGUAAAUGGUGGGAAGACAGCAAGCAGAAGGGGACAGCCUACUCAUUGAACUCCUAGCACCAGGCUUUGUCCUGGACCCCAGCAUUUCUGAGUUUUGCUGUGCCUGCAUUGUCACCAGAGAUCUGUGAAGUAAUCACUGGUGUGGAGAGUGUGUCAUCUUUUAGCUAAUGCUGACCUAGAAAAGAGAGCGGCCUAUUUAUGACGGUAUUUCUCAGAGUAAUAGAAUAACCGGUGCCUGUGCCUAAGAUAUAAGAAUUUGAAACAUUUACAUGUAUCAAAUGUAAUGCUGAAGUAUACAAUUAUACUAGCAGCCUGUAUGGAAAAGGGCUGGAAAAAAAAAAAAAAAAAGGUUUUAAGGAGAAAUGAACAGUCAAAUAAAAGCAAAUAUAAAGAAGAAAAUUAUUUGAAAGUCAAUUGUAAUAUCUCAUGGAGAUGUAAUUUCUAAUACUGUUAUACUGUUGUUAAAAUAUAAUUUUAUAUUACAUUUCUGUAAGAUGCUUAAUUUACUCUGUUCCUCUUUCUGCUGAAAUGAAUGGAUUAUUUUUUUAUUAUUUUAAAGGAAAGUGCUUGACAAAGGCGAGCCCUACUGUACAUUCAGGUUUUCAGGGACUCUUCGUAGAGAUCACUAUCUAACUGAUUUCCUGCUCUGUCAUUGGAUAUUAUUUCUUUUCAGUUCUUAGUGUUCUAUUGUCUAAAUAGAUUUUAUUUUUCAGAAAUACAAGAUUCUUCCAAGGUGU